UACGUAGGGUGCGAGCGUUAAUCGGAAUUACUGGGCGUAAAGCGUGCGCAGGCGGUUUUGUAAGCCAGGUGUGAAAUCCCCGGGCUCAACCUGGGAAUGGCAUUUGGGACUGCACGGCUGGAGUGCGGCAGAGGAGACUGGAAUUCCUGGUGUAGCAGUGAAAUGCGUAGAUAUCAGGAGGAACACCGAUGGCGAAGGCAGGUCUCUGGGCUGACACUGACGCUCAUGCACGAAAGCGUGGGGAGCAAACAGG
rnacentral:rRNA from 1 species